rnacentral:misc_RNA from 1 species
GUGAGUCAUCGAAUCUUUGAACGCACAUUGCGCCCGCCAGUAUUCUGGCGGGCAUGCCUGUUCGAGCGUCAUUUCAACCCUCAAGCCCCAGUGGCCUGGUGUUGGGGACCGGCGACCUCGCCCGGGGGAACACCCCCGGCGCGUCCGCCGCCCCCGAAAUGAAUUGGCGGCCCCGUCGCGGCCUCCUCUGCGUAGUAGCACAACCUCGCAGCGGGAGCGCGACGCGGCCACUGCCGUAAAACGCCCAACUUUUUUUAGAGUUGACCUCGGAUCAGGUAGGAAUACCCGCUGAACUUAAGCAUAUCAAUAAGCGGAGGA